GACGAACCGUGCGAACGUUGUUCGGAAUCACUGGGCUUAAAGGGCGCGUAGGCGGGCCUUCAAGUCCGGGGUGAAAUCCUCCCGCUUAACGGGAGAAGAGCCUCGGAGACUGAGGGCCUCGAGGGAGGUAGGGGCGUGCGGAACUGAUGGGUGGAGCGGUGAAAUGCAUUGAUAUCCAUAGGAACUCCGGUGGCGAAGGCGGCACGCUGGAC
rnacentral:rRNA from 1 species